rnacentral:rRNA from 1 species
AUUGAACGCUGGCGGCAUGCCUUACACAUGCAAGUCGAACGGUAACAGGUCUUCGGAUGCUGACGAGUGGCGAACGGGUGAGUAAUACAUCGGAACGUGCCCGAUCGUGGGGGAUAACGAAGCGAAAGCUUUGCUAAUACCGCAUAAGAUCUACGGAUGAAAGCAGGGGACCGCAAGGCCUUGCGCGAACGGAGCGGCCGAUGGCAGAUUAGGUAGUUGGUGGGAUAAAAGCUUACCAAGCCGACGAUCUGUAGCUGGUCUGAGAGGACGACCAGCCACACUGGGACUGAGACACGGCCCAGACUCCUACGGGAGGCAGCAGUGGGGAAUUUUGGACAAUGGGCGAAAGCCUGAUCCAGCCAUGCCGCGUGCAGGAUGAAGGCCUUCGGGUUGUAAACUGCUUUUGUACGGAACGAAAAGACUCUGGUUAAUAUCUGGGGUCCAUGACGGUACCGUAAGAAUAAGCACCGGCUAACUACGUG